UGGGGAAUAUUGCACAAUGGGCGCAAGCCUGAUGCAGCGACGCCGCGUGAGGGAUGACGGCCUUCGGGUUGUAAACCUCUUUCAGCUCCGACGAAGCGCAAGUGACGGUAGGAGCAGAAGAAGCACCGGCCAACUACGUGCCAGCAGCCGCGGUAAUACGUAGGGUGCAAGCGUUGUCCGGAAUUACUGGGCGUAAAGAGCUCGUAGGCGGUUUGUCGCGUCGUCUGUGAAAUUCUGCAGCUUAACUGCAGGCGUGCAGGCGAUACGGGCAGACUGGAGUACUACAGGGGAGGCUGGAAUACCUGGUGUAGCGGUGAAGUGCGCAGAUAUCAGGGGGAACACCGGUGGCGAAGGCGGGUCUCUGGGUAGUAACUGACGCUGAGGAGCGAAAGCGUGGGUAGCGAACAGG
rnacentral:rRNA from 1 species